AGUGAACGCUGGCGGUAGGCCUAACACAUGCAAGUCGAACGGCAGCACAGUAAGAGCUUGCUCUUACGGGUGGCGAGUGGCGGACGGGUGAGGAAUACAUCGGAAUCUACUUUUUCGUGGGGGAUAACGUAGGAAAACUUACGCUAAUACCGCAUACGACCUACGGGUGAAAGCAGGGGAUCUUCGGACCUUGCGCGAUUGAAUGAGCCGAUGUCGGAUUAGCUAGUUGGCGGGGUAAAGGCCCACCAAGGCGACGAUCCGUAGCUGGUCUGAGAGGAUGAUAAGCCACACUGGAACUGAGACACGGUCCAGACUCCUACGGGAGGCAGCAGUGGGGAAUAUUGGACAAUGGGCGCAAGCCUGAUCCAGCCAUACCGCGUGGGUGAAGAAGGCCUUCGGGUUGUAAAGCCCUUUUGUUGGGAAAGAAAAGCAGCAGGUUAAUACCCCGCUGUUCUGACGGUACCCAAAGAAUAAGCACCGGCUAACUUCGUG
rnacentral:rRNA from 1 species